ACAUAGCUGUUUUCAUUUCAGGUGGCAGCAUUUCAAUGUCAGGAAGUUCACUAUGAUGAUUUUCUAGGGCGUUAUAUAUAAUGGGACAGUGUAUAUUACAGUAGCCUAUACACCACAAUGUGUGAGAGAGAAAGCCAUUGAUGGGAUGUUCUUGGAGUUAGCCUAUAGGCUACUUAAAAAAGCUGAAUCUCCUCUGUGCCUGAGCAGCGAGAGGGAGGAGAGGGAGAGAGGGAGUGUGCGACAUCACAGUGAUCCACAUUGACAGUGACAUCACUACUCAACUAACGGGUGGGACUUCGCAGGCUUUCUCAUUCCAGCAGUGUUCUGUGGAUAUUGAAUCACUACCUAACUGUCAGGAAAAUGUGCCUGGUACUUGGUGGCAACUGCCUUGUCAAACAAUAAUAAUGCACUUUUGUGCCUUAACUUUAUUCCUGAGAAUGAAACAGAAUCCGUUGCAGAGUCUGCUCGACGUUGGAUCUGUGCAUAUGUUGAUUCCGGAUGGUGCGAUCUGCUGAAUGAAGCGGGAACAGGGGCCACUUGUUGGGGCUAACACAAGAGACAGCAGAGUAUGAAGCCCACAGCGGACCGUGGACUAGGAUGUGCCAGUAAACCUCUGAGUCGGGCUUGAGUGGAACUUGGAGGAUUUGUAUUCAUAGAACUUGACAUUUGGUGUGAACCAGGACGCUGACCAUGGAGACAGAGCUGAGCACUGGUCUCUCUGCAUGGACCAUCAUGGCCAUUGUGUGUAACUCUGUAGUGGGCGUCCUCACCCUUAUCCUCUUUGUCAUCCUCUACAAGGCCUGCAAGGUGCCCUCUUGCCAAGAGAGGUCAGCAGUGCUGACAGUAGCCCGGGAGCAGAAAUGAGGGGCGAGCAGAAAUGCUUACUGACUACAGCCUGAUGAUGGACGUACAGAGGAAAAACACUUCUUGGCCAAACAGACUGCCACUGACUGUUAACUAACACAAUGAGUGAACACUAAAAAAACAAUGUUUCGGGGUCCUUAUCUGUCAAGUCAUUCUCUCCAUCGAUUUCUCUAUCACCCCCCUCCCCACAACUCUUUCUUUCUGCCUCUCUUUGUCUCUCCCUACCACAUUACGUAAACAAAAACACCAGCAUAAAUCCUCUUAUCUCCUUGGCUCUGCUCUGGGACUGUCCAUCUGUCAGUCUGUUUACACUCAGCAGCCUGGCCUCCCCCUGCUCAUCUGCACUAAACCACAAUCUGGGGAAUGAGGAAAAGGGUAAAUGAGAAAGGAAAUGAGGAGAGCGAGAGGGAGUGAUAGAGGGAAAGAGAACAGCCCUCAUCUCAUCAGAGACAACUUGAUGUUGACUAACUGGAGAAAUAAUGAUGCCAGGGAUAGUGAAAUAGACCACAAGAGAGGCAGAGCAGAGAGGGAGAUAGAGAGAUAGAUGAUGCCAGGGAUAGUGAAAUAGACCACAAGAGAGACAGAGCAGAGAGGGAGAUAGAGAGAAUAAUGAUGCCAGGGAUAGUGAAAUAGACCACAAGAGAGGCAGAGCAGAGAGGGAGAUAGAGAGAUAGAUGAUGCCAGGGAUAGUGAAAUAGACCACAAGAGAGACAGAGCAGAGAGGGAGAUAGAGAGAAUAAUGAUGCCAGGGAUAGUGAAAUAGACCACAAGAGAGGCAGAGCAGAGAGGGAGAUAGAGAGAUAGAUGCGGAACAAAGGACGGACGUGAAAGGGGAAGAGGGAAAAGGAUGUUUUGAUGAGGUGUUGUUUACUAAAAGAACGCUCAAGGCCCUCUGUGACUUCGAAGUCUCCAGCACCCACAGAUCAACUCUCAAGGGUUUAUGAAAAACAACGACUGAGGGAAAUGAAAGGAACACUUUCAUAUGUCUGUCUGCCACUGAAUGGGCUCCUAUAAAACACAAAGGUAUUGUUAUUUAUAGACAAGCUUCCAAAGGCGUGACACUCAAAGAGAUAAUGAGACUCAAUGUGACUAUUUUAAAAAGUAUCCUGUAGCUAACGGUGGUGUGACGCAGAAAAUCAAAAUGACUUCCUGAAACAGAUGGAUCUACCAUGUACUGUGCCAUGUCAUUCAGCAUUCCAUACAUGUAAUUAUGACGGUGAUGCUGUUCUGUAAGAAUCAUGGACAUGGACAUUUUCAUUGUAUUUUUUAUUAACUCAAUAAAAUGUUUUACCUUUGUGUA